GGAUGUGAUGGCGAUCUGGCUGCGACAUCUGUCACCCUGUUGAUCGCCAGGGUUGAUUCGGCUGAUCUGGCUGGCUAGGCGGGUGUCCCCUUCCUCCCUCACCGCUCCAUGUGCGUCCCUCCCAAAGCUGCGUGCUCAGUCGAAGAGGAUGACCUUCCCCGAUAGAGACGGUACCGUUCAUCUGUCAAGGGUAUAUGGUAGCUGCACUCCCCUGCUAGAACCUCCAAAAAAAGCUAUGAAAACUAUUUGUUUUCUGUCUGCUUUCCUUUUGAUCAGUGAUUACUAUUUUGUAAAGUUUUUGGAAAAUAACAUGCUGUCAAAGACUAUGUCUUUGAUUUGCU
rnacentral:snRNA from 1 species